GAUGAACGCUGACAGAAUGCUUAACACAUGCAAGUCGAUGGGGAAGUGGUGCUUGCACCCUGGCAACCAUGGCGGACGGGUGAGUAACGCGUAAGGGACUUACCUGCAGGACUGGGAUAACAGGGGGAAACUCCUGACAAGACCGGAUAAUGUCAUGGAGCUGCAUGGCUUUAUGAUGAAAGGAGACGCCUGCGGAGAGCCUUGCGUCCUAUUAGCUAGUUGGUGAGGUAAUGGCUCACCAAGGCGAAGAUAGGUAGCCGGCCUGAGAGGGUGGACGGCCACAAGGGGACUGAGAUACGGCCCUUACUCCUACGGGAGGCAGCAGUGGGGAAUAGUGGACAAUGGGGGCAACCCUGAUACAGCAAUUCUGUGUGCACGAAGAAGGUUUUCGGAUUGUAAAGUGCUUUCAGCAGGGAAGAAGUAAGUGACGGUACCUGCAGAAGAAGCGACGGCUAAAUACGUG
rnacentral:rRNA from 1 species